GAUUCUGAAGUUUUCAUAUGCUCAAGCAAAGAGAUUAUAUUAUCUGAAUAUGUUAUCCACUCACAGUAUUGAUGUUGUAAUCUUUCCUUACAAUCUAAUAUUUCUUUCUACUGCCUGAAGCGAUGGCUUGCUUGACUCAGAUCUAAAAUCCUCUGCCAUGACUUCUGAUAUUUAGGUUUCAAAGAAUCUAGUUUAUCUUGCCAGAAGGACAUCAUUUUUGAGGUAGGUUUAGAUAUUCUGAUCUUUUGUGAGGAAGAAGCAGUCAUCUUUAAGUCUUCUGAAGUUUGUGUCACUUUAUAUUAGACUGAAUUGCUUUUGGACAGAAAGGACUGAAUAGCCUAUUCUCUGUUACUUUGGAAUGUAGGUCUUUUAUUCUGCUGUUGCUGUCCGUUACUAAUAGCCCCUUAAAAUAAAGUGAUCACUAACUUUUAAAAUUCUCAGUUCUUUUACUGAGACUUAAAGCUUUUUACUUAGACUUAAAAUAACUAUUGUGGCCCUGAAAGCCACAUUUUCUUCAGAAAAAGCUUCCCUCAGGUUCCUUCAAAAUGGCGCCCUCUAUGACUGCGCGCUCUCUACAAUCAAAAUGGCUGCUUAACUCCUUCUCCUUCAGAGGUAGUUUUCACUUCCCCUCAGGAAGGUCUAAAGAAAGAAAUCUGCUGCUACUUGGGAAGCUAAAAGAAAAGAAAUUCACUUUUAUUUGGGAAGGUCAAAGGAAAGAAAUUCACUUUUAUUUAGGAAGCCAGAAGAAAAGAAAUUUACUGUUCUGCCUCCAUGCUGAACUAAAUGAACUGGAAGGAACCAUAGCAUGAAGGACAGAUUGGAGACUGUAUUUGGUGAAACAAAAUAUUUUAUUAAUAAACAAAAUUGAUCUCUUUUCCUCUUGUUGCCACUAUGAAGUCUCUUGUGAGGAAAUAAAUCUUUAAGUCUAUGCAGUUCUGGAUAGAUAUUGCCACAGAGUAUAAAGUCUUGUUAUGACUAGAUUCUUUGUAUCUUUGAGAUGACUUCAAUGCAAUGUUGACAUGGUUUUCUCUAUUGCUGUAGUCUAUGGCUUUUAAUCUAAUUUGAAUACAGUUCCAACGUGACGUGAAUUUCUGUGAUCCUUUUUGCUUCCUACACUUCCUUCCAGUGCCUCACCAACUGACAAAAUCUAACUGACAAAAAAUAACUGCCAUUUCAGGUUGGCAGGAGCCAAGGCUAAGCUCCGCCCUUUUAGAAUCUUAAAGAGACAGGGCAACAGAUGAUGUUCUGCCUUCUCGUGGCAUGACAAUCCACCUAGCCCAGCAUUGCUAGCUAGAUCAGCCAGCUAGAUGUUCAUGGGAAACUCACAAAGAUGAAACUUUAUCCCAGUGCAAUUUCCUAGAUGUAAAUGAAAAUAAUUACAACAAUAAUGUUUCUUAACUGCUGUCAAGUCGACUUUGACUAAUGGCACCCCAUGAAUGAGAGACCUUCAAGCCACCCUAUCCUUAACAGCCCUGUAUAUGUCUUACAGACUCAAGUUCACACUUCUGUCAACACAGAAAAAAGGCAUAUAUGACUGCUUCACUUUCAGAUGUCAGACACUCAAGAACCUUGCUCCUUUCAUCUGGGAAAUUAUAGAUUUGCGAAAGAUGAUUAACACAAGUUGGAGGGCAGCUGACUUUGGUGAAUGUUACCGGCAUAUUCAGAUUACAGUGGCUUAGACUGUAUCAGAACUCAGCCAUAAAAGUGAUCCUGAGUCUUUUGACAACACAAAGAGUCUUUUGACAACAUAAAACAUAACUUAGUUUUCAUUCCGUCACCUGGCCAUUGUUUUAAAACAGCUUUAUUUAUAAAGAGCAAGGGAUUCAGAAAGAAAACACAGAAAUAUAAAAGAGUUUUACAAAGA